rnacentral:rRNA from 1 species
AAGCUCGUAGUUGAAUUUCGGGGUUAGUAGGUUGGUCAUGCCUCUGGUAUGUACUGGUCUCACUGAUUCCUCCUUCCUGAUGAGCCUUAAUGCCAUUAAUUUGGUGUUUUGGGGAAUUUGGACUGUUACUUUGAAAGAAUUAGAGUGUUUAAAGCAAGCUAACGCUUGAAUACAUUAGCAUGGAAUAAUGAAAUAGGACGUUCGAUCCUAUUUUGUUGGUUUCUAGGAUUGACGUAAUGAUUAAUAGGGAUAGUUGGGGGCAUUAGUAUUCAAUUGUCAGAGGUGAAAUUCUUGGAUUUAUUGAAGACUAACUACUGCGAAAGCAUUUGCCAAGGAUGUUUUCAUUAAUCAAGAACGAAAGUUAGGGGAUCGAAGACGAUCAGAUACCGUCGUAGUCUUAACCAUAAACUAUGCCGACUAGGGAUCGGAUGAUGUUAAUUUUUUAAUGACUCAUUCGGCACC